rnacentral:ncRNA from 1 species
AUUGAUUAAAGCCAAACUCGUCGUGAGGCGGGGUCGGAAAGCCACAGAUCUUCAAUGAAGAAGAUGGCUGGGCUGCAUUG